AUGAAGGUUCGUGUGGCGAAGGAUGUUCCUCCACCUCCUUCUCAGACUCUUACCACGUCCUCGAUUGAAGUGGGAAUGCGUACAUACCUAAGAGAAAAUGAGACUUUGCUUACAGACAGAAACACACGACCCAAACCGAGCAAGAAAAUAUGGUGGACCCAAGGCGCCCUUCAUUUGAAAGUCGAAGCAAGAAAUCUCACGACCGAUCAUCAUCUAUUGAUGGUGAAACCACCAAUAUAA